GUCCUGUGGGGUCUUAUGGGUCACCAUGGGGUCCUACAGGGGGUCCAUGGCGUCCUAUAGGGGCAUAUGGGGAUCCCAUGGAGUCUAAGGGGGCCACAUGGGGGUCCUAUGGGGGUCACAUUGGGUCCUAUGGGGUCCCAUGAGUUCCUGUGGGGAUUCCUUGGGAUCCUAUGGGGACCUAUGGGACGUGUGGGGGUUCCAUGGGAGACCCACAGGGUCCCAUGGGAGCUCCGUGGGGUUCUAAGGGGGUUCUAUGGGGUCCCAUGGGGUCUUACAGAGUCCCAAAGGAUCCUAUGGGGCCCCAUGGGGACCUGAGAGGAUUGCAUGGGAGUCCUAUGGGGUUCCAUGGGGUUCUGUGGGGGACUUAUGGGGUCCCACAAAGUCCUGUAUGCUCCUAUGGGGUCCCAUGAAGUCCUGUGAGGUCCUAUGGGGUCCUAUGGGGUCCCAUUGGAGUCCUAUGGGGUCCCAAGGGGUCCCGUGGGGUCUUAGGGUGUCCUACGGGGUCCUGCUGGAGUCCUAUGGGGUCCCGUGAGGUCUUACGGUGUCUUAUGGGGUCCUGCGGGGCCCUAUGGGAAGGAACAUGGGUCCUACAGCGUCCCAUGGGAGCUCCAUGGGAUCCUAAGCGGGUUCUAUGGGGUCCCGUGGGGUCUUACAGAGUCCCAAGGGGUCCUAUGAAGUCCUAUGGGGUCCCAUUGGAGUCCUAUGGGGUCCCACUGGAGUCCUAUGGGGUCCUGCGGGGCCCUAUGGGAAGGAACGUGGGUCCUACAGCGUCCCAUGGGAGCUCCGUGGGGUCCUAAGCGGGUUCUAUGGGGUCCCGUGGGGUCUUACAGAACCUAAGGGGUCCUAUGAAGUCCUAUGGGGCCCCGAGGGGGUUGCAAUGGGGUCCUAUGGGUCGUAUUGGGUCCCACCCCCCCUCCUCACCUCUCCCCCGCCUCCCGCCAGGUUUCGCCCCCAGCUGCAGCAGCUCGGCCUCCAGCUCGGCAGCGCUGGGCUCGGCGGCGGCCGGCGGCUGUGGGGACAAAGAACCACGCGCCGGGGCGCAGGUGGACACGGGGCACAGAACGGGACGGCCGGAACCCAAACGGCACAGCCGGAACCCAAACGGGACAGCCGGAACCCCAGGGGAACAGCUGGAACCCCACGGGAACAGCCGGAACCCAACAACCCCAUGAGAACAGCCGGAACCCCAGGGGAACAGCUAGAACCCCACGGGAACAGCCGGAACCCAAUGGGAACAGCCGGAACCCAACAACCCCACGAGAACAGCCGGAACCCCAGGGGAACAGCCGGAACCCAAACGGGACAGCCGGAACCCAACAACCCCACGAGAACAGCCAGAACCCCACAGGAACAGCCGGAACCCCACAGGAACAGCCGGAACCCCACAUGGGAACAAACAGCCGGAACCCCACAUGGGAACAAACAGCCGGAACCCAACAGGAACCCCACGGGAACAGCCGGAACCCAACAACCCAAUGGGAACAGCCAGAACCCCACGGGAACAGCCAGAACCCAACAACCCCAUGGGAACAGCCAGAACCCCAUGGGAACAGCCAGAACCCCACGGGAACAGCCAGAACCCCACGGGAACAGUCAGAACCCAAAUGGGAACGGCCGGAACCCAAAUGGGAACCCAACAGGAACAGCCAGAACCCAAACGGGAACAAACAGCCAAAACCCAAAUGGGAACAAACAGCCGGAGCCCAAACAGGAACAGCUGGAAUGGGAACAGGUGGAACCCAACAGGAACAGCUGGAACCCAAACGGGAACAACCAGGAACCCAAAUAGGAACAACCAGAACCCAACAGGAACAAACAACCGGAACCCAAUGGGAACAAACAGCCGGAGCCCAAACAGGAACAGCUGGAAUGGGAACAGCCAGAAUGGGAACAGGUGGAACCCAAAAGGAACAGCCGGAACCCAAAUAGGAACAGCCGGAACAGAACAGCCAGGAACCCAAAUGGGAACAAACAACCAGAACCCAAUGGGAACAACUGGAACCCAAAUGAGAACAGCCAGAACCCAACGGGAACAGCCAGAACCCAAAUGGGAACAGCCAGAACCCAAAUGGGAACAGCCAGAACCCAAAUGGGAACAAACAACCAGAACCCAACGGGAACAACUGGAACCCAAACGGGAACAACUGGAACAGGAACAGCCGGAGCCCAACAGGAACAGCCAGGAACCCAAAUGGGAACAACCAGAACCCAAACAGGAACAGCCAGAACCCAAUAAGCACAGCCAGCACCCACUGGGCCCAACCAGCACCCACUGGGCCCAACCAGCACCCACUGGGCCCAACCAGCACCCAUUGGGCCCAACCAGCACCCACUGGGCCCAACCAGCACCCAUUGGGCCCAACCAGCACCCAGUGCCCCCCCCCACUCACCUGCCCAGCCCCGCUGCGCCCAGCUCUGCUCAUGGCUGCUCUGCUGCGGCUGUGGGGCAGCGCGGUGUCACAGCCCCAAC
ensembl:lncRNA